AAAUUGAAGAGUUUGAUCAUGGCUCAGAUUGAACGCUGGCGGCAGGCCUAACACAUGCAAGUCGAACGGUAACAGGAAGCAGCUUGCUGCUUCGCUGACGAGUGGCGGACGGGUGAGUAAUGUCUGGGAAACUGCCUGAUGGAGGGGGAUAACUAUUGGAAACGGUGGCUAAUACCGCAUAACGUCGCAAGACCAAAGAGGGGGACCUUCGGGCCUCUUGCCAUCAGAUGUGCCCAGAUGGGAUUAGCUAGUUGGUGAGGUAACGGCUCACCAAGGCGACGAUCCCUAGCUGGUCUGAGAGGAUGACCAGCCACACUGGAACUGAGACACGGUCCAGACUCCUACGGGAGGCAGCAGUGGGGAAUAUUGCACAAUGGGCGCAAGCCUGAUGCAGCCAUGCCGCGUGUAUGAAGAA
rnacentral:rRNA from 1 species